rnacentral:lncRNA from 7 species
GGUGGAAGGAAAAAUUGGAGGUAGGGUGAGGGAAGGGGAGGGUUGAAGGGAAAAUAAUGAAACAGAGGAAAAAAGAGAAUAACAAGUAAAAAGCAAUGCAUGUAAAUACAGAGCAAGCAAGUAGGAAAGCUAGGCAUAGCACAGCAAAAGAGAGCAAAGCAAAAGAAGGCAAAGAAUGACAAAAAGCAACCUUGCAGGAAUGGAGGAAUCUGGCCAGAGCUGUGCCCCUGCUUGCCACAGGAGCUGCGCGGGAGGAGAAGAACGUGGGCCAAAAGGAAUGGAGGAAUCUGGCCAGAGCUGUGCCCCUGCUUGCCACAGGAGCUGCGCGGGAGGAGAAGAACGUGGGCCAAAAGGUAAGAGGAGCUCCUUUGGGUUCUGGGCUUGAAGCAAAGCUGAGAAGCCAUGCCCGGGAGGAGGUGUGGGUAGCUACAGGCCACCUUGCUAUCUCCCCAAGAGAUGAGGUGUGUGGGCUAGGCACCGGGCAGGAGUGCUGGCCAGAAGCAAGCAUCUCUGUGGAGGAAGGCAAAGGGCGGAGGAGGUUCAAGGGUAGCUACCGGGCAUGGCCUUGCUCAGCAAGGGGAGGAAAAGCCUGAAGGGCACGAGAAGGGGAUAGAGAAGGGCAGGCAGUAGGCGUGAAGCUGCGAGCAGAGUAGAGAGCAACUUGGCAGAGCAGCAAGCAGAGUAGGCAAGUGUGAGGUUUGGCGUGAGUAGCAGCAAAAGCCCAGAGCAUCAAGAAGCAGGAAGUGAGGAGAAGGUAAGUGAAGGGCAGGCAAGGUAAUGGGAGGCAAAGGCAAGGGGAAAGGGGGGGUAAGGGAGAAAGAGGGAUGGGGAGGGGAGGGGAUGGGUGAAGAGCAGAGCGGAGGGAAGGGCUGAGGGGAGGGCUGAAGGCAAACCUAUGAUGAAAAAAGAAAAGAAAAAAUAAGAACAAAAAAUAUGAAAAAGAGAAAAAAGAAAAGAAAAAUAAGAAAAAGAGAAAAAAUGAAAAGAAAAAAAGAAAAAAAUGAACAAAAAAGAGAAAAAGAGAAAAAAUGAAAAAAAAGAGAAAAAAGAGAAAAGAAAAAAAAAUGAACAAAAAAGAGUAAAAAGAGAAAGAAAUGAAAAAAAGAGAAAAAAGAGAAAAGAAAAAAACAUGAACAAAAAAGAGAAAAAGAGAAAAGAUAAAAAAAGAAAAAGAUAAAGAAAAGAAAAGAAAAAAGAAAAUAGAAAUAAAAAAGAGGACAGAAAAAUAUGAAAAAAAAGAAAAAAAGAAAAGAAAAAAACAGUAGAUGAAAAAAGAAAAAACAAAGGAAAAACGAAUAAUGACAAGAGAAGAAAGGUAAAGAGAAAAGA